rnacentral:rRNA from 1 species
AUGGCGGACGCCAUGUUCAGGCUCCCGGAGAAGCUGGACGGGUUACUGGCCAGCCAUGGCCAAACGCUGCCCCGGGGCGCGGGGGAGGAGAUACCUCUCAUCAAGCAAGAUCUGGAGAAGAUGGUCGCCAUUCUCCAGGAGCACAGUGACUCCAGAGCAGAGGACCGUGUUAUGACGGCCAAGUGCCUGGCCAAGGAGGUGCGCGAGCUCUCGUACGACAUGGAGGACAGCGUCGAGCAGUACGAGCAGGCCGCCACCACCAGCAGAUGGAUAGCUCCUCGCCGUAGGAAGCACACGCCCGCUCGUCAUAGAGUUACACGGCUUCCGGAGAAACUCAGGUGGCGCCUAUGGAUGGCCAACAAGAUCAGGGAGUUCAGCUUGCGCUCGCAGGGGCAGGAGGCGCCUCUUUAA